ACUCAAAUGAAUUGACGGGGGCCCGCACAAGCGGAGGAGCAUGUGGUUUAAUUCGAUGAUACGCGAGGAACCUUACCCGGGCUUGAAAGUUAGUGACCGGCUGAGAAAUCAGCCUUCCCGCAAGGGCACGAAACUAGGUGCUGCAUGGCUGUCGUCAGCUCGUGCCGUGAGGUGUUGGGUUAAGUCCCGUAACGAGCGCAACCCCUAUCGUUAGUUGCCAUCAGGUCAUGCUGGGAACUCUAAUGAGACUGCCCGCGCAAGCGGUGAGGAAGGUGGGGAUGACGUCAAGUCAGCACGGCCCUUACGUCCGGGGCUACACACGUGCUACAAUGGAUGGUACAGAGGGACGCUACCAGGUGACUGGAUGCAAAUCUUCAAAGCCAUUCUCAGUUCGGAUCGAAGUCUGCAACUCGACUUCGUGAAGCUGGAUUCGCUAGUAAUCGGAUAUCAGCAAUGAUCCGGUGAAUACGUUCCCGGGCCUUGCACACACCGCCCGU
rnacentral:rRNA from 1 species